UAAAGGAAUUGGCGGGGGAGCACCGCAACGGGAGGAGCGUGCGGUUUAAUUGGAUUCAACACCGGAAAACUCACCAGGAGCGACGGUUACAUGAAAGUCAGGCUGAUGACCUUACUCGAUUUUCCGAGAGGUGGUGCAUGGCCGUCGUCAGUUCGUACCGUAAGGCGUUCUCUUAAGUGAGAUAACGAACGAGACCCUCACCAAUAGUUGCUACCGUAUCUUCCGAGGUGCGGGCACACUAUUGGGACCGCUGGCGCUAAGUCAGAGGAAGGAGAGGUCAACGGUAGGUCAGUAUGCCCCGAAUCUCCUGGGCUACACGCGCGCUACAAAGGGCGGGACAAUGGGUUCCUACACCGAAAGGUGACGGUAAUCCCGAAACCCGUCCGUAGUUCGGAUUGAGGGUUGUAACUCACCCUCAUGAAGCUGGAUUCCGUAGUAAUCGCGAAUCAACAAUUCGCGGUGAAUAUGCCCCUGCUCCUUGCACACACCGCCA
rnacentral:rRNA from 3 species